rnacentral:rRNA from 1 species
UCAUCACUACGCUAGAUGCAUAUCAAUAAGCGGGGAAAAGAAACUAACAAGGAUUCCCUUAGUAACGGCGAGUGAAGCGGGAAGAGCUCAAAUUUGAAAUCUUCAAGGUUCUACCUUGACGAAUUGUAGUUUAUAGAAGUGUUUUCUGUUAGUAGAGUGGCAAAAGUUCUUUGGAAUAGGACAUCAUAGAGGGUGAGAAUCCCGUAUUUGGUCAUUCUUUCUAGCUUUGUGAUACACUUUCAACGAGUCGGAUUGUUUGGGAAUGCAGUCCAAAAUGGGUGGCAAAUUUCAUCUAAAGCUAAAUAUUGGCGAGAGACCGAUAGCGAACAAGUACCGUGAGGGAAAGAUGAAAAGAACUUUGAAAAGAGAGUUAAACAGUACGUGAAAUUGUCAAAAGGGAAGCGUUUGACACCAGUGUUGUUUUUCCGAAAAUCAAUUACGAAUGUUUUGUUUUUAAGAAGUUAUGACUUCAUCGGCUUGCUUCUUUCUUUACGAAACUUUCUUAAUGCACUUUUCGGUUAACAAGUCAACAUCAAUUUCUUUUGUUGUAAAAGGGUAUGAGGAAGGUGGCUUUCUUUUCGGAGAAAGUGUUUAUAGCCUUGUACCUCUGCAAUCGGAGAGAUUGAGGUCUGCAGCGUAGAUCCUUCGGGGUUAGAUACAUUUGUGCUAAGUUAUAGCUUUUCAUAGACAACUUGUUGACUAUGUUAAGUCUUGUAGCUUACUCGCUUAUGCUAUUUUACCUACGCUUAGGAUGUUGAUAUGCAUGACUGAUAU